CGGCGAGCGAACGGGGAGGAGCCCAGAGCCUGAAUCAGUGUGUGUGUUAGUGGAAGCGUCUGGAAAGGCGCGCGAUACAGGGUGACAGCCCCGUACACAAAAAUGCACAUACUGUGAGCUCGAUGAGUAGGGCGGGACACGUGGUAUCCUGUCUGAAUAUGGGGGGACCAUCCUCCAAGGCUAAAUACUCCUGACUGACCGAUAGUGAACCAGUACCGUGAGGGAAAGGCGAAAAGAACCCCGGCGAGGGGAGUGAAAAAGAACCUGAAACCGUGUACGUACAAGCAGUGGGAGCCUCUUAAUGGGGUGACUGCGUACCUUUUGUAUAAUGGGUCAGCGACUUAUAUUCUGUAGCAAGGUUAACCGAAUAGGGGAGCCGAAGGGAAACCGAGUCUUAACUGGGCGUUAAGUUGCAGGGUAUAGACCCGAAACCCGGUGAUCUAGCCAUGGGCAGGUUGAAGGUUGGGUAACACUAACUGGAGGACCGAACCGACUAAUGUUGAAAAAUUAGCGGAUGACUUGUGGCUGGGGGUGAAAGGCCAAUCAAACCGGGAGAUAGCUGGUUCUCCCCGAAAGCUAUUUAGGUAGCGCCUCGUGAAUUCAUCUCCGGGGGUAGAGCACUGUUUCGGCAAGGGGGUCAUCCCGACUUACCAACCCGAUGCAAACUGCGAAUACCGGAGAAUGUUAUCACGGGAGACACACGGCGGGUGCUAACGUCCGUCGUGAAGAGGGAAACAACCCAGACCGCCAGCUAAGGUCCCAAAGUCAUGGUUAAGUGGGAAACGAUGUGGGAAGGCCCAGACAGCCAGGAUGUUGGCUUAGAAGCAGCCAUCAUUUAAAGAAAGCGUAAUAGCUCACUGGUCGAGUCGGCCUGCGCGGAAGAUGUAACGGGGCUAAACCAUGCACCGAAGCUGCGGCAGCGACGCUGAUGCGUUGUUGGGUAGGGGAGCGUUCUGUAAGCCUGUGAAGGUGGCCUGUGAGGGUUGCUGGAGGUAUCAGAAGUGCGAAUGCUGACAUAAGUAACGAUAAAGCGGGUGAAAAGCCCGCUCGCCGGAAGACCAAGGGUUCCUGUCCAACGUUAAUCGGGGCAGGGUGAGUCGACCCCUAAGGCGAGGCCGAAAGGCGUAGUCGAUGGGAAACAGGUUAAUAUUCCUGUACUUGGUGUUACUGCGAAGGGGGGACGGAGAAGGCUAUGUUGGCCGGGCGACGGUUGUCCCGGUUUAAGCGUGUAGGCUGGUUUUCCAGGCAAAUCCGGAAAAUCAAGGCUGAGGCGUGAUGACGAGGCACUACGGUGCUGAAGCGACAAAUGCCCUGCUUCCAGGAAAAG
rnacentral:rRNA from 1 species